rnacentral:rRNA from 1 species
UCGAGCGAACAGACGAGGAGCUUGCUCCUCUGACGUUAGCGGCGGACGGGUGAGUAGCACGUGGAUAACCUACCUAUAAGACUGGGAUAGCUUCGGGAAACCGGAGCUAAUACCGGAUAAUAUAUUGAACCGCAUGGUCCAAUAGUGAAAGACGGUUUUGCUGUCACUUAUAGAUGGAUCCGCGCCGCAUUAGCUAGUUGGUAAGGUAACGGCUUACCAAGACAACGAUGCGUAGCCGACCUGAGAGGGUGAUCGGCCACACUGGAACUGAGACACGGUCCAGACUCCUACGGGAGGCAGCAGUAGGGAAUCUUCCGCAAUGGGCGAAAGCCUGACGGAGCAACGCCGCGUGAGUGAUGAAGGUCUUCGGAUCGUAAAACUCUGCUACUAGGGAAGAACAAAUGUGUAAGUAACUAUGCACGUCUUGACGGUACCUAAUCAGAAAGCCACGGCUAACUACGUGCCAGCAGCCGCGGUAAUACGUAGGUGGCAAGCGUUAUCCGGAAUUAUUGGGCGUAAAGCGCGCGUAGGUGGUUUUUUAAGUCUGAUAUGAAAGCCCACGGCUCAACCGUGGAGGGUCAUUGGAAACUGGAAAACUUGAGUGCAGAAGAGGAAAGUGGAAUUCCAUGUGUAGCGGUGAAAUGCGCAGAGAUAUGGAGGAACACCAGUGGCGAAGGCGACUUUCUGGUCUGUAACUGACGCUGAUGUGCGAAAGCGUGGAGAUCAAACAGGAUUAGAUACCCUGGUAGUCCACGCCGUAAACGAUGGGUGCUAAGUGUUAAGGGGUUUCCGCCCCUUAGUGCUGCAGCUAACGCAUUAAGCACUCCGCCUGGGGAGUACGACCGCAAGGCUGAAACUCAAUGGAAUUGACGGGGGACCCGCACAAGCGGUGGA